rnacentral:rRNA from 1 species
CGCGUGCCUUACACAUGCAAGUUUCGAACGGAAAGGCCCGCUUGCGGGUACUCGAGUGGCGAACGGGUGAGUAACACGUGGGCAACCUGCCCUCAGCUCUGGGAUAACUCCGGGAAACCGGUGCUAAUACUGGAUAUCAACUUUGCCUCGCAUGGGGUGUUGUUGAAAGUUUUUCGGCUGGGGAUGGGCCCGCGGCCUAUCAGCUUGUUGGUGGGGUGAUGGCCUACCAAGGCGACGACGGGUAGCCGGCCUGAGAGGGCGACCGGCCACACUGGGACUGAGACACGGCCCAGACUCCUACGGGAGGCAGCAGUGGGGAAUAUUGCGCAAUGGGCGGAAGCCUGACGCAGCGACGCCGCGUGAGGGAUGACGGCCUUCGGGUUGUAAACCUCUUUCAGCUCUGACGAAGCGUGAGUGACGGUAGGAGCAGAAGAAGCACCGGCCAACUACGUGCCAGCAGCCGCGGUAAUACGUAGGGUGCAAGCGUUGUCCGGAAUUAUUGGGCGUAAAGAGCUCGUAGGCGGUUUGUCGCGUCGAAUGUGAAAACCCGGGGCUCAACCCCGGGCCUGCAUUCGAUACGGGCAGACUAAAGUUCGGUAGGGGAGUCUGGAAUUCCUGGUGUA